AACGAACGCUGGCGGCAGGCCUAACACAUGCAAGUCGAGCGGAUGACGGGAGCUUGCUCCUUGAUUCAGCGGCGGACGGGUGAGUAAUGCCUAGGAAUCUGCCUGGUAGUGGGGGACAACGUUUCGAAAGGAACGCUAAUACCGCAUACGUCCUACGGGAGAAAGCAGGGGACCUUCGGGCCUUGCGCUAUCAGAUGAGCCUAGGUCGGAUUAGCUAGUUGGUGGGGUAAUGGCUCACCAAGGCGACGAUCCGUAACUGGUCUGAGAGGAUGAUCAGUCACACUGGAACUGAGACACGGUCCAGACUCCUACGGGAGGCAGCAGUGGGGAAUAUUGGACAAUGGGCGAAAGCCUGAUCCAGCCAUGCCGCGUGUGUGAAGAAGGUCUUCGGAUUGUAAAGCACUUUAAGUUGGGAGGAAGGGCAGUAAGCUAAUACCUUGCUGUUUUGACGUUACCGACAGAAUAAGCACCGGCUAACUCUGUGCCAGCCGCCGCAGUAA
rnacentral:rRNA from 1 species